CCUACGGGUGGCAGCAGUAGGGAAUCUUGCACAAUGGGCGAAAGCCUGAUGGAGCAACGCCGCGUGCAGGAUGAAGGCCCUCGGGUUGUAAAGUGCUGUUAUAAGCGAGAAAUAUGAUGGUAACUUAUGAAUAAGGAUCGGCUAACUACGUGCCAGCAGCCGCGGUCAUACGUAGGAGCCGAGCAUUAUCCGGAGUGACUGGGUGUAAAGAGUUGCGUAGGUGGCAUAAGAAGUAGCUAGUGGAAUCUGGUGGCUCAACCAUUCAGACUAUUCGCUAAACUGUUAAGCUCGAGACCGUUAGGGGCAUCUGGAAUUUCUAGUGUAGGGGUGAAAUCCGUAGAUAUUAGGAGGAACACCAAUGGCGUAGGCAGGAUGCUGGGACGGUUCUGACACUAAGGCACGAAAGCGUAGGGAGCAAACAGGAUUAGAUACCCUGGUAGUC
rnacentral:rRNA from 1 species